AGUUUCCAAGUUGGUGAUGUGCAAAAUAAGAAACUUCGUAGUAAAGUCCACCACAGCAUCUAAUCUUUUGAAGCCUAAACCAUUUGUGCUUUAUUUCAGCCAUCAUAAUUAACGGAAAAGAGUUCAUCAAGUAUUACCAACACGUGUACUCCAAACACUGUUAUACGCUGAAGGGAGAGAGAUGGCGGUGUUCCAAGCGUUGCAGCACCGGUUGCAAAGCGUUCUUGAUAUUAGGGCUGGGCACACGCGGCUUAAGACCAGUUAUCAAAGCUGCUGGGGAUCACAACCACAUGCCACCACAGUACCAACAAUGUCCAGAUGGUUCUUACAUUAAGAUUAGUGGCUAGUUCAUCAACAGACGUAAAUCCAUUACAAGUUAUAUUUUUUCAAAAUUUUCUUGUAAAAAGUUAAAUUCGUUAAUGGAACGUUGCUGCUUUUGUAAAAUUUGCUUAUAAAAAUGAUUAUUUGUGAAUCAAUACUAAUGCCCGUUUUCACCAUCAAUCCCUAAUUUAUGUGACCCCUGUAGUUGGUAACACUAUAACAGGAGUUUGUUUUCGAAGGGAUCACUUAAAAAUUAAGGAUUGAUGGUGAAAUCGGGCAUAAGUCCCUCGAGGAAGUAAAAUCAAUCGGUUUGUUGGAGAACGAAAAAUGUUGAAGUUUUUUUUUUAUAUUUUUUGCUUCAGUGAUAACACAUGGCGGCAAACAGCUCAUGAUGUAUUGUCAGCAUGUCUACGCCAAAGAUGUCUUAUAAAAAUUGGUCAGAAGUGGCGGUGCUCACGACGCCUCAGCGCCGGUUGCAAAGCAUAUAAUAUGGUCUUAGGGCCUGAAGUACCUGGAAGCAAAUUCAGAAGCGUUUUAAAAGUUUGCAAUGAACAUACCCACGGGCCGUCAAAGUUUUACCAGCUAAAAGAUGGCACUUACGUUAAAAUGUGACUGCUGUAAUACGAUUAAAUGUAAUAACAAAAUGUUAGUUCCAUCAAAGUACCAACGAUUUCCAGAACUAACUUAGCACUCUUUGAGAAUUUACUGUUUUUUACUAUCCGUCGAGUUUUGGUGAACAUGGGCUUUGAACAUAAUUUUUCCACCAGCAGGUUGGUAGAGACUAGUGUGUUUGCCAAUAAAGUUGUUUUAUUUGCAACGACAAUUUAAUUCUAAGUAUUAAUUGAAAAAAUAAUAAUAAACCCCCAGUUCAUCACAAUCGGUUUGGUGAAAGAGGGAAAAAUUGAAUUUUUUAUAUUUCUGCUUCAGUGGUAAUAUGUGGCAGCAAACAGCUCAUGAUGUAUUCUCAGCAUGUCUACGCCAAAGAUGUCUUUACAAAAAUUGGUCAAAGGUGGCGGUGCUCACGACGUUACGUCGGUUGCAAAGCAUACAUGGUCUUAGGGCCUGAAGUAUCUGGUAGCAAGUUCAGAAGCGUUGUAAAAGUUUGCAAUGAACAUAAUCACAAGCCGCCACAGUUCCACCAGCUAAAUGAUGGCACUUACGUUAAGAUUUGACUGCUGUAAUUAUUAUGUAACGUUUGUUAAAUAUUUUUUUUUGCUAAUUCCAUCAAACAACAAUUUACAGAUUCCAUACCAUUUGUAUUUUUUCCAAGAAAAUAUGUGAACUAACUGAGCACUCUUUGAGAAAUUACUGUUUUAAAAACUUUCUGUUGAGUUUUGGUGUACUUGGACUUUGAAAAUAAUUUUGCCACCGGCAAUUUUGCUACUGUAAAUAGUUUGUCAAUAAAGCUGUUUUAUUUGCAAAGACAAUUUAAUUCUAAGUCCCGGUAUUUAAUUGAUAAAAAAUAAUAAAACCCCAGUUCAUCACAAUCAGUUUGUUGAAAAAGGGAAAAAUUGAAGUUUUUUAUUUCUGCUUCAGUGGUAAUAUGUGGCAACAAAAAGCAAAUGAUGUAUCAGCAGCACGUCUACGUCAAAGAUGCCUUUAUAAAAAUUGGUCAGAAGUGGCGGUGCUCACGACGUCAAAGCGCCGGUUGCAAAGCAUAUAUGGUCUUAGGGCCUGAAGUACCUGGUAGCAAGUUCAGAAGCGUUGUAAAAGUUUACAAAGAACAUACCCACGGGCCGUCACAGUUUUACCAGCUAAAAGAUGGCACUUACGUUAAGAUGCGACUGCUGUAAUGCGAUUAAAUGUAAUUACAAAAUGUUAGUUCCAUCAAAGUACCAACAAUUUCCAGAACUAACUGAGCACUCUUUGAGAAUUUACUGUUUUUUUGUUAGGUUUGAUAAACAUAUAAGCUUUGAACAUAAUUUUGCCACCAGCAGGUUGCUACUGAGACUAAUGUGUUUGCCAAUAAAGUUGAUUUAUUUGCUACGAGAAUUUUAUUCGAAGUCCCGGUAUUAAUUUAAAAAAAUAAUAAACCCCCAGUUCAUCACAAUCGGUUUGGUGAAAGAGGGGAAAAAUUUAAGUUUUUAUAUUUUUGCUUCAGUGAUAAUAUGUGGCAGCAAACAGCUCAUGAUGUAUUGUCAGCAUGUCUACGCCAAAGAUGUCUUUACAAAAAUUGGCCAAAGGUGGCGGUGCUCACGACGUUUCAGCGCCGGUUGCAAUGCUAGUAUGAUCUUGGGACCUGAAGUACCUGGUAGCAAGUUCAGAAGCGUUAUCAAGGUUCUCCAUGAACAUAACCACGGGCCGUCACAGUUCCACCAGCUAAAAGAUGGCACUUACGUUAAGAUUUGACUGCUGUAAUGCGAUUAAAUUAAUAUAAUAACAAAAUUUUAGUUCUAUUAAAGUACCAGUUUCCAGAACUAACUAACUCUUUGAGAAAUUACUGUUUUUUUUAAUUAUCUGUUGAGUUUUGGUGUACUUGGACUUUGAACAUAAUUUGCCACCGGCAAUUUUGCUAAGUAAAUAUUUUGUCAAUAAAGCUGUUUUAUUUGUAAUUCUAAGUCCCGGUAUUAAUUCAAAAUAUUAAUAAACCCCCACUUCAUCACGAUCGGUUAGUUGAAAGUGGGAAAAAAUCAAGAUUUUAUAUUUCUGCUUCAGUGGUAAUAUGUGGCAACAAAAAGCAAAUGAUGUAUCAGCAGCACGUCUACGUCAAAGAUGCCUUUACAAAAAUUGGUCAAAGGUGGCGGUGCUCACGACGUUACAACGGUUGCAAAGCAUAUAUGGUCUUAGGGCCUGAAGUACCUGGAAGCAAGUUCAGAAGCGUUAUAAAAGUUUGCUAUGAACAUACCCACGGGCCUUCACAGUAUUACCAGCUAAAAGAUGGCACUUACGUUAAGAUGUGACUGCUGUUCUGCUUUUAAAUAUCAGAACAAAAUAUUAGUUCCAUCAAAGCACCAACAAUUUCCAGAACUAACUUAGCACUCUCAAAGAGUGCUAAGAAAUUACUGUCUUUUUUUAAAUUAUCUUUUGAGUUUUGGUGUACUUGGACUUUGAACAUAAUUUUGCCCCCAGCAGGUUGCUACUGUAAAUAGUUUGUCAAUAAAGCUGAUUUAUUUGCAAAGACAAUUUGAUUCUAAGUCCCGGUAUUUGAAAAAAAUAAUAAAACCCCAGUUCAUCACAAUCGGUUUGGUGAAAGAAGGAAAAAUUGAAGUUUUUUAUUUCUGCUUCAGUGGUAAUAUGUGGCAACAGAAAACAAAUGAUGUAUCAGCAGCACGUCUACGUCAAAGAUGCCUUUACAAAAAUUGGUCAAAGGUGGCGGUGCUCACGACGUUUCAGCGCCGCUUGCAAUGCUAGUAUGAUCUUGGGACCUGAAAUACCUGGUAGCAAGUUCAGAAGCGUUGUCAAAGUGCUCAGAGAACAUACCCACGGGCCGUCACAGUUCCGGCAGCUAAAUGAUGCUAGAUUCAUCAGGACACCAACCGCCACACUCUUGCUGUUUCGCGGUUACACCUAUGCAAAGAGGUGUUCGUCAAAGACCGGCGAAAGGUGGAACUGCACAAAACGCAUUUCGAAGCAGUGCAAAUCGUACGUGAGUUUAAAUUUGAAUAAAAUGAUCGUCAAUUUCGAAGAAGAUCAUAAUCAUGAACCACCACAAUACACUUGCGACCGUAAUGGGAUUUUUAUAAGAUUGAAUUAAAAAAGCCGUAAUUUCAAGACACCAUGCCGCUGAAAAGAAGGGUUUUCAUCUAUAAAAAGGGAGAUGUCACAAAAGCUAUAAAAGAAAUAAGCAAUGGUGGUAAAGUGAGAGAAACAUGUCGAAAGUAUAAUAUUCCCCGUGCAAGAGUUAUUAAUAAAUUGAAACAUAAGUACUCAUGGGAUAGAAAAAUGGAACCGCCUACUAUAUUGACCACACAAGAAGAAUCCACGCUUAAAUCCUGGAUAAUAGCGAUGGCAAAUAAAUGGUUUCCAGUCAAUAGAGAAAUGAUCCUUGACACUGUUAAAGAUAUUAUAAUUGAACAGAAACUGCCAAAUCCAUUCAAAGAUAAUGUACCUAGCAAAAAAUGGUUUGCAAGUUUUUUGAAAAGACACCCAGAUGUUUUUGCACGCCUUGUGGAAUAUAGGAAUAUUUCCGAAAGUCCAGUAACAGUAAGUGCUUUGAGAAUGUGGUACAAAAAUUUAAAAGAUUAUCUAAUCACUGAAGGCGUCGCCGAUAUUUUAGAAGAUCCGGAAAGAAUCUUUGGUGCAGAUGAAUGCUCAUUUCAAACAGGCUUUACUGGCUUAGUGCACGGUCCUCAAGGGUUAAACUAUGAUGAGACAAGCAACAAAGAUAAAGAAUCCCUAACUGUUGUUGGAACUAUCGCAGCAUCUGGGAGUAUAUUGCCACCUUUAAUUGUAUAUCCAUCAAGACUACCACCUCAGGUCUUUAGACUAGUCAAUGGAGAGUGGUGCGUCCGUCAGUCCGAUAAAGGAAAUCUGACAUCAAAAUGUGUCUUUGAUUACAUAUCAGAUACCCUUGUUCCAAAAUUGAAAGUUCAGUAUAUUCAAACGCACGUCGGCUCGAAGCUGCUCAUGGUGAAUAACUACUCGUACUGCCGAAAGCACACGUCGAAGAUCCGAGAGAAGUGGCAGUGCACCAAGAAGAUGUCCAAGGAAUGCCAGGCUUACGUCAUAUUGGACCUAGUCAAUUCGGGCAUGACGCUAAAUGGGCAGCACAACCACGAACCAACCCAGUACCACCGCAACAGUCAAGGGUUGUACAUUAAGAUUGGUUGACUCAUUGAAUCUUGGGUAAGGGAAAUUAGAAAUAGCUUGGUAUUCAGUUCGGUGAUUUGAGACACCCCGCACAUUACAGACUUUCUGUCGACAUUAUACCGAUUUAGUAUCGGCCGAUUCCUCAAAUAUGAAGCAGACCAAAGUAUUGACCGAAUAAAAUUCAUAGUCUGCGGGGAUUCUGAAAAUGUACUUUGGACAGUUUUUCCGAUUGAUAAAGUUUCUGUAGUUAUCUGUCAUAAUUAUUACGCUGUCUAAUAUUGCUCAAUAGAUACCGUCGAUUUUAUGUGCUCGAUUACCUAUACAUCGAAAUCGAAUCGAAAUCUGAAAUUGUAAUUCAAGACAUAAAACUAUCAGAAACUAUCAACACGUGGUGAUUUUGAAGAUCAACACGUGAAAAUAAAUGAUAAAGUAGAACAAACGCUGGCACAUCAAGGUAAUCACUGUGACAUCUAAAGUCAAUAUUGUAACAGGUGCUAUUUUGCAACAAAAUUGUAUUUUCUGAUUAUGUUCUAGUAUGCUCGGACUAGUAGUCUCUAGUACUCUAGUAUGAUGGACAUUUAUAAUUUAUACUUGCUGUGAUUGUCCGGGUGCACGGAAAUUUUCCUUAGUUGUUUUAGGCAAGUUUAAAAAGUGCAGUUCAUAACGUCCAGGUGUGGGAAGCCUUUGGUCAUGUUGAACAACUAUACUUACCGGCGACACUGCUCUCUGAAGUCUGGCGAGCGGCUGCAGUGCUGCAUGAGUGUCAGCAGGCGGUGUCACGCGUACCUCAUAGUGGACCUCAACGGUGUCGUGGUCAAAAGGAACGAAGUGCACACCCAUCCUCCGACGGCGUACGCUAGGAACGCGUCGGGCGCUUACUUUAGGAUUUAAGUUGAAUAAGGGCCAGUUUUAUGAGCUGCACUAACUGUAAAAUUUUAUUUGUUUUAAACUUUCAUGGUCAUGGUCAUGGUCACAAACAUAAUAAUUAUUAUUGACGGGAUAGAGGGUAGACCGAUAUGUCUGGUAUGUCUGCCCAUGACAUCUCACCCGCUAGUGCCUCAGUUACUCCGUGAUCAUGGCGCUUGUAACAGUGCCGAAACAGACUCGAAAUUAAGGUACAUGGUAGCAGUCCCGUCAAUAAUAAUUGAUCUGUUAGAUUUUCAUGAAUCGUUAUGGUUAAAUAUCAGCUAUUAUUAAUAUAAAUAUAA